CUACGGGCAGCUGCAGUGGGGAAUAUUGCACAAUGGAGGAAACUCUGAUGCAGCAACGCCGCGUGGAGGAUGACACUUUUCGGAGCGUAAACUCCUUUUAUAUAGGAAGAAGAUGACGGUACUAUAUGAAUAAGCGCCGGCUAACUCCGUGCCAGCAGCCGCGGUAAUACGGAGGGCGCAAGCGUUACUCGGAAUCACUGGGCGUAAAGAGCGUGUAGGCGGAUUAAAAAGUCAGAAGUGAAAUCCUAUAGCUUAACUAUAGAACUGCUUCUGAAACUCUUAAUCUAGAAUAUGGGAGAGGUAGAUGGAAUUUCUGGUGUAGGGGUAAAAUCCGUAGAGAUCAGAAGAAAUACCGAUUGCGAAGGCGAUCUACUAGAACAUUAUUGACGCUGAGACGCGAAAGCGUGGGGAGCAAACAGGAUUAGAUACCCCAGUAGUC
rnacentral:rRNA from 1 species